rnacentral:rRNA from 1 species
UACGUAGGGGGCAAGCGUUGUCCGGAUUUAUUGGGCGUAAAGAGCGUGUAGGCGGCCAGGUAGGUCUGCUGUGAAAACUCGAGGCUUAACCUCGAGCUGUCGGCGGAAACCAUCUGGCUAGAGUCCGGAAGAGGAGAAUGGAAUUCCCGGUGUAGCGGUGAAAUGCGCAGAUAUCGGGAAGAACACCCGUGGCGAAGGCGGUUCUCUGGGACGGUACUGACGCUGAGGCGCGAAAGCUAGGGGAGCGAACGGG